rnacentral:rRNA from 1 species
AUACGGAGGAUCCGAGCGUUAUCCGGAUUUAUUGGGUUUAAAGGGUGCGCAGGCGGCCAUUUAAGUCAGCGGUUAAAUCGUGGGGCUCAACCCCAUUCUGCCGUUGAUACUGGGUGGCUUGAUUGCGGUCGAGGUUGGCGGAAUUCGUUGUGUAGCGGUGAAAUGCAUAGAUAUGACGAAGAACACCGAUUGCGUAGGCAGCUGACCAGACCGCCAAUGACGCUCAUGCACGAAAGUGCGGGGAUCGAACAGGAUUAGAUACCCUGGUAGUCCGCACAGUAAACGAUGAAUACUUGUUUUCGGCGAUAUAAUGUCGGAGGCAAAGCGAAAGCGAUAAGUAUUCCACCUGGGGAGUACGCCGGCAACGGCGAAACUCAAAGGAAUUGACGGGG